GCCGAGUGACCUGCAAGGACUUCGAUAAUAUCGAUUUGACCAUGAAACAAAAUAUCGAGGACGAAUCAAAAUUGAGAUUUGGAAUAUCGCCAUUACCGAGCAGAUAAAAUGUUUCAAAUGCUUACUGCAUCAAUCUUAUAGCCAGCUAGUUCGAGGUAACACACCAAGAGGAAAGUAGCGGAGAAUAAGUAAAAAAUACAAAAAUCUUUCGGAAUUGAGAUGAGUUUGCUUGUAGAUAAAUCUGAAUCCAGGAUUUGGUACAAGUGAUGAUGGAAAUAUUGCUCGCUGAUUUUCAUCUAAUGCACCUAAUCUUCAUGAUGAGCAUCCAUCUAAUAAAAAUAGAUUUUUUUUCACACACACUGCUUAGAGACUGCGAAGGAAUUUAUGAAGCUAUAUGGGUGAUAUAACCUGCCAACGGCUGUACAUAAAAUAUUGAUUCAUUUCUUCCAAUUGGAUAACUGGGAGAAGAAGCACAAGAAAAGCACAAGAAAACCGCAACGAAGAUAAAGAAAACAAUAGAAGAUAUUUUUCAUAAUUUGCUUGUAUCCUUGGAUCGAUAUAGCGUAAGCAGUAUAAGAGGAAUAUAACCCACAAAGGCAAAAAAUAUCCCAAAAACGUCAUUCAGUUUUUUGAUAUAAUACUUGGUAUCCUCAAUUUGCCAAAAUUUGCCAAAAAUCAUCCAAAUUUGAUUUUGCAGGAGGGGGAUGAGAAUGAGAACAAGAAGAAGAAGAAUUAACAUCAUAUAGUAAAGAUUAAGAAACUAUUAAAUAUACAUCAGAAUGUAUUUUACAUUUUUAUACUUGUAGAAUCAUAUCUGCAAUUUAUUCCAAUAAUCUAUUUUAGAUUUAAAGAUACUACUUUCAACCAGGAUUUCGACAAAAUUUCUCACUGUGAGACGGGUCGACUAAAGGGCCGAUUAGCAAGAUAUUUUAGUAAGUUGCUCAGUGUGUGAAGGCGAAAAUAUGGUUGACUAGGUUUGUCGACGGUCGACUAGUCGACUCGACCAAUUCUAGACGACCGAUUUAGUCGACCCGCCUGUAACCGCUCUUAUGGAAAAGAUGAAGAUCGUUCGGAGCAAGGCCCGGAUUAUAGGGUGGAUGAUCUCACCCAAAACUACCCAACAGAGAGAAAGGGAUCAAGCUAUGAUAGUGAGAUUCAGAUGCGGUAAUGAGGAAAGAGUCAAUAAAUUCAGGGUAAAAUCAGAGGAGAAGAACUGUAGAUUACGUGGACCAGGAGAAGAGACAAUGGAAAAUUUUAUUGAAGAGUGCGGAUAAGUUGAAAGAGAAGAAGAAUUAAGCAAAAGGAUGCUCAUGUGGGCACAAGAGGAACGAA